UGCAUAUCUUUUAAAAUAAUACGGUAUUAUUAUUUUAUUUACAUAUUCAGAAAGAAGACUUUGAAGCUCUACUGUUACAUAAAAAUCAAGCUACAGAACAAUACACAAAAUGUAAUCCCACUCACUUGAAAAAUUAAAAGUCAAGCCUUCAUCCUGUUACCAAGAAUACUUGUAUUUCUCUCUCCGCUUCUUCUGGAUGAAGGCUUAAGAUUUAAUCUUAGACUCAGCCAUAAAACAGAAUGAAAUCAUGACAUUUGCGGCAACACGGAUGGACCUAGAGAUUUCCAUACUAAGUGAAGCGAAGUCAGGCAAAGACAAAUAUCGUGUGACAUCACUUACAUGUGGAAUCUAAAAAUGAGUAUGCAUGAACUAUGUACAAGAUGGAAACAGACUCACAGCUAUGGAAAACAAACGUCUGGUUUCCAAAGGGAAAAUGUGGGGGAGGGAUAAAUUGGGAUAUGGGAUUUAGAGAUGCACAUUACCAUAUAGAAAAUAAACGACAGGAGUUCUCGU